UGGAGAGGGGCUCAGAGUAGCAGCAGGGAGGCCACCUCAAGUGUGGGGGAUACAGGUUUGGGGGGUUGAGCUCUGGCUGGAGAUCCAGCAUACAAGAAAGUUCUGGAUCCCUUUCUUAGAUGCAAUCACCACUGGUUCCACAUGGUUUGAGGUGGCCAAGGGGACAUGAUACGUAGUUUUUACUGCUGUCACUCAGAUGGGAUGGUACAACCAAGGGAAAAAAUACAGGAUGUGCGGGGCCCACGUGGAAACCACGGUGGGCAUGGUAACCGGGCCAGCGGACCACAGCCGUGAAGGCGGGAGAGCAUCAUGUUCACUACCGGCUCCCUGCGGCUGGGCCCUGUGCUAAGCACCGCUCACUGCCUCGUGUUAUGCUCCGUUGUCGCUCUGGGGUGGAAAAUGUGGCCCAGGAGGACACUGGAGCUUGGAGUUAAGGCUGAGGCUCAGCAGAGCGGGAGCCGGGAGCUGGCCCAGGGCCGGCCACCCCGUAGCCUGCACAUGGACCACUGCAUUCUGCUGCGGCUGUGGCCGUCUUUGUCAGGGGCAGGGGAUGGUAUUUGGAAUGAACCAGCUUCCCUGAAUUCUCAGGAUUGUUCUGUGUGUGUGACUCCCCUUAGAAGUAGUCCCGCCUUGUGAACUGGCAGAUUCGGGGUUCAGAAAGGCCCAGGUGGGGACCCAGGCAUUGUUGUUCUGUGACCUUGAGCCUGUCUGUCUCUCUUGUCAGAGGGGAGAGUCAUGUGGCAUAAGGUUCGGCAUUUCAACGUGAAUCAUUCUGUGGCAUUUAUUUAGCACAUUUCACAGUGUCGUGCAGCCAUCACCACUCUCUGGCUCCAGAGCGUGCUCGUCACCCUGAAAGGGGAGGCGGCCCCCAAUAAACAACCCCCUCCCAGC